AAAGGGUCCGCAGGCGGGCCGAUAAGUCAGUGGUGAAAUCUCAUACUUAACUAUGAAACUGCCAUUGAUUACNUGGUCGGUCUUGAGUAAAUUAGAGGUAGCUGGAAUAAGUAGUGUAGCGGUGAAAUGCAUAGAUAUUACUUAGAACACCAAUUGCGAAGGCAGGUUACCAUGAUUUAACUGACGCUGAGGGACGAAAGCGUGGGGAGCGAACAGGAUUAGAUACCCUGGUAGUCCACGCCGUAAACGAUGCUAACUCGUUUUUGGGGCGCAAGCUUCAGAGGCCAAGCGAAAGUGAUAAGUUAGCCACCUGGGGAGUACGUUCGCAAGAAUGAAACUCAAAGGAAUUGACGGGGGCCCGCACAAGCGGUGGAUUAUGUGGUUUAAUUCGAUGAUACGCGAGGAACCUUACCAAGACUUAAAUGGGAAAUGACAGGUUUAGAAAUAGAUCCUUCUUCGGACAUUUUUCAAGGUGCUGCAUGGUUGUCGUCAGCUCGUGCCGUGAGGUGUUAGGUUAAGUCCUGCAACGAGCGCAACCCCUGUCACUAGUUGCUAACAUUCAGUUGAGGACUCUAGUGAGACUGCCUACGCAAGUAGAGAGGAAGGUGGGGAUGACGUCAAAUCAUCACGGCCCUUACGUCUUGGGCCACACACGUAAUACAAUGGCCGGUACAGAGGGCAGCUACACAGCGAUGUGAUGCAAAUCUCGAAAGCCGGUCUCAGUUCGGAUUGGAGUCUGCAACUCGACUCUAUGAAGCUGGAAUCGCUAGUA
rnacentral:rRNA from 1 species